UACGUACGAGGCGAGCGUUUAUCCGGAAUUACUGGGCGUAAAGCGCGCGCAGGUGGCGUGUUAAGUAGGGCGUGAAAUCUCCCGGCCUAACUGGGAGGGGUCGCCCCUAGACUGGCAGGCUUGAGGCUGGCAGAGGUGGGUGGAAUUCCUGGUGUAGUGGUGAAAUGCGUAGAGAUCAGGAGGAACACCGGUGGCGAAGGCGGCCACUGGGCCAGCACUGACGCUGAGGCGCGAAAGCUCGGGGAGCGAACGGGG
rnacentral:rRNA from 1 species